rnacentral:rRNA from 1 species
ACGAACGCUGGCGGCGUGCCUAAUGAAUGCGAGUCGAACGAGAACUGGGUUGAGUCUUCGGACAAGACCCGGGGACAGUGGCGAACGGGUGAGUAACACGUGGGUAACCUGCCCCUUAGUCGGGCACAACAGGGGGAAACCUCUGCUAAUUCCCAAUAUGCUUACGCGGCACAAGUCGUGUAAGGAAAGCUCCGGCGCUAAGGGAUGGACCCGCGGUCGAUUAGCUAGUUGGUGAGGUAACGGCUCACCAAGGCGAUGAUCGAUAGCCGACCUGAGAGGGUGACCGGCCACACUGGGACUGAGACAUGGUCCAGACUCCUACGGGAGUUAGCAUCAGGGAAUCUUGCACAAUGAGCGCAAGCUCGAUGCAGCGACGCCGCGUGGGUGAUGAAGGUCUGCGGAUCGUAAAGCCCUGUCAGGAGGGAAGAAGUUCUGACUGUACCUCCAGAGGAAGCCCCGGCUAACUACGU